GACGAACGCUGGCGGCGUGCCUAAUACAUGCAAGUCGAACGCAGUGGGGACGGGUGAGUAACACGUGGGUGACAUGCCAGCAGAGGGGAUAAAACUUGGAAACAGGUGCUAAACCGAUACUGAUGGAUGGACCCGGGGUGCAUAAGCUAGUUGGUGGGGUAACGGCUCACCAAGGCCACGAUGCAUAGCGGGCCGGAGAGGGUGAUCGGCCACACUGGGACUGAGACACGGCCCAGACUCCUACGGUAGGCAGCAGUAGGGAAUCUUCGGCAAUGGGCGAAAGUCUGACCGAGCAACGCCGCGUGAGUGAAGAAGGUUUUCGGAUCGUAAAACUCUGUUGUUAGAGAAGCGGUAUCUAACCAGAAAGCCACGGCUAACUCCGUGCCAGCCGCCGCGGUAAUAC
rnacentral:rRNA from 1 species